GAACCCUUCCCCGCUUUAUUGCAGGAUAGUGAUAUGUGAUUAAUCAACAUUGACACUAAUUCAUUUUGAAUAAUAGUUUAUUAAAACAAGUUUAAACACUUCACUUCAAAGAAUCAGCACUUCAUCACUACAAAAUGUACAAAUAAGCUGACUCGUAAGUAAAGAUUAGACAUCAAAGUCUAAACAACAAUACAUAAUUGUAGUAGUAACAAGUAGGCUAUUAUUACUCAAGCGCCAACCUUGCUCCACUGAUCCCUGAUUGACAAGGUGAGCAAACUUCUCUUCCAGCCCAGCAAUAGCAUACUUGGUUAUCAACUCAUUAGGUUUGUUAAAUUGAAUCAGGUGUACUAUUGCUGGGCUGAAACAGAACCCUGCACACCCAGCAGACGUCUAGAAGAGUUGGAUUGAUACGAUUGUAAUAUGUUUAUACAUUGUGAUGUUUAACUGUAUUUUUGUAUAAAACAUGUGCUAACAUAAGUAGGCCUACACAUGCAGUGCCUUCAGAAAGUAUUCACACCCUUUGACUUUUUCCAUGUUUUGUUGUUACAGCCUGAAUAAAAAAUGUAUUAAAUGGAGAUGCUGUGUCAUUGGCCUACACACAAUAACCCAUCAUGUCAAAGUGGAAUUAUGUUUUUACACAUUUUUACAAAUUAAUAAAAAAAUGUAAAGCUGUAAUGUCUUGAGUAAAUAUGUAUUCAACCCCUUUAUGGCAAGCCUAAAUCAUUUAUUUCUGCAAUAAUAAUGUUUAACAUGAUUUUUGAAUGACUACCUCAUCUCUGUACCCCGCACAUCUGUAAGGUUCCUCAGCUGAACCAGGUUUUCCUCUAGGAUUUUGCCUGUGCUUAACUGUAUUCCAUUUAGUUUUAUCCCCCCCAAAAACUCUGUAGACCUUGCCGAUGACAAGCAUACCCAUAACAUGAUGCAGCCACCACCAUGCUUGAAAAUAUGAAGGGUGGUACUCAGUGAUGUGUUGUUGGAUUUGCUCCAAACAUUUUUUAUAAAUGUUAGAAUUUUUCUUCCACUUUAACAUUAAAGUAUUUUGGGUAGAUUGUUAACCGAAAAUGACAAUUAAAUCCAUUUGAAUCCCACAUUGUAACACAAAAUGUGGAAAAACUCUAGGGAUGUGAAUACUUUACAUCAUAAUGUACAUCAUAAUGCAUUGUACUGUAACUGCAUCAUAAUGCAUUAUACUGCUGCUGUGUGUAAGCUAGCGUGUUAGCGCGAUGUCUUUUUAUUACUGCUGUGGGGUUUUAUUGGGUCACUUUGCCCCACCACAGCUCGUCCACAGCCCAGGGUCAGACCGCUUGACCACAGCACUGGUCACAGUGAACUGCUCAUUUACCCCUUGUGACAUGGAGAGAAAUACAGGCCUUUUCCUCCUGCUGUUGCUCCUCUUCCUCCUGCUUUUUCUCCUCCUGCUCCUCCUCCUUCUCUUUAUCAUCCUCCUGCUAUUGCUCCUCCUCUUCCUCCUCCUACUUUGCUGCUCCUCUUCCUCCUCGUCAUCCUCCUGCUAUUGCUCCUCCUCUUCGUCAUCCUCUUCGUUAUCCUCCUGCUAUUGCUCCUCCUCUUCGUCAUCCUCUUCGUCAUCCUCCUGCUAUUGCUCCUCCUCUUCGUCAUCCUCUUCGUCAUCCUCCUGCUAUUGCUCCUCCUCUUCGUCAUCCUCUUCGUUAUCCUCCUGCUAUUGCUCCUCCUCUUCGUCAUCCUCCUGCUAUUGCUCCUCCUCUUCGUCAUCCUCCUGCUAUUGCUCCUCCUCUUCGUCAUCCUCUUCGUUAUCCUCCUGCUAUUGCUCCUCCUCUUCGUCAUCCUCCUGCUAUUGCUCCUCCUCUUCGUCAUCCUCUUCGUCAUCCUCCUGCUAUUGCUCCUCCUCGUCUUACUACUUUUGCGCCACUUUCUGCUCCUCUUCCUGCUGCUGUUCCUCCUACUCUGAGAGACAACCCUCUGACGUCACAUCAAAGGUUAAUAAUAUCAUGGCAGUGUCCCUGCCUGCUGUCCUGGUUGGUGUACUGUACAAGGCAUGGCAGGUUCAGUAAGACCCUUUCAAUAGGCUAAUCGUUAGUCGUUCAACUGCAUUGAAACGUCUUUGUUCCACUUGAAAUUGAAUAGGUAGCUGUCGCUUAGCCCUAACGUUGUGGUUGAUUUCAUUUUACAUGGAGUGAAACAAUGAGCUGGGAGAACUGCUUUGAGGUCUUAAUGCUGAGAGCAGUCAUUACAGCUGCGGGGUGAAGGAGAAGGAUUUGUAUGGCGAACCGCCGUAUAUCCUGGCUGUCUUGUUCCUUAUGCAAAGGGCUUUCAGGGAGCAAUGUGUUUCUGAGCAACAGGAAUGUCCACUGUGCCGCGAUGCAUUUUACGAGAGUCCCGCGCAAACGUCAUUGGACAGCUCCCGGCCUGGCCCAGGACUAUAGAAUAUCUGUGUUUUAUCAGAUAGAACGCGCAUGCAGGGACACACAUGCACGCAUGACACACACGCAGGUCUGGGAGCAAUCAGCAGGCUGCAGCACAUUGCUGUCUGAGGCCGCUUUUCCUGUGUGUCUCUGCGCGUCUAUGUUUCAGGGGUUCAUACACAGCACACCAAUAAACCCCACUAAUGACUGACGCUCCUCGCCGCCCCUCCACUUCAGCCUCUCACCCCUCACCCAGCCCUGGCACCCAGCCUGCAGAUGCACAAUCCGCUGGGCGUCUUAAAAAAAUAAAAUAACGUAUAUUUUUUUACGAGCCUUGCGCCUAGCACCCAUACCUACUGAUGUCACCCACACCUCUCACCUAAUCCCGUCUAAGCACAGGGACUGCCAAGGAAACACACCUUGAUACCAGAGCUGGGAGCAGUAUUUCAAAAAAAUUUAUGUUCCCUCCUUUCUGUUCUUUUUCGGUGGAUGGUGGUGUGAAGAGGACGGCAGGCGGAAUACUCGGGCCGUCAAAAAACACCCAUGGCCAGUUCUCGUACCACAGGGCCCUUGACUGGUGUGGUUAUGGCUCUACUGAGGCCCAGGCUCCUGCUCCAGAGACGACCACCUCUCAGACCACCCGGGGAAGCCACGACAUCUCCACCAAGCCCUGACCCUUGACCCGAUUUCCAGCUUACCCUGAGGGAGCGUCUUC
rnacentral:lncRNA from 1 species